GGUAUUUUUUUUUUUUCCAAGGGGAUACCUUAGUACGGCGAGUGAAGCGGUAAAGCUCAAAUUUGAAAUCUGGUACUUUCAGUGCCCGAGUUGUAAUUUGUAGAAUUUGUCUUUGAUUAGGUCCUUGUCUAUGUUCCUUGGAACAGGACGUCAUAGAGGGUGAGAAUCCCGUUUGGCGAGGAUACCUUUUCUCUGUAAGACUUUUUCGAAGAGUCGAGUUGUUUGGGAAUGCAGCUCAAAGGGGGUGGUAAAUUCCAUCUAAAGCUAAAUAUUGGCGAGAGACCGAUAGCGAACAAGUACAGUGAUGGAAAGAUGAAAAGAACUUUGAAAAGAGAGUGAAAAAGUACGUGAAAUUGUUGAAAGGGAAGGGCAUUUGAUCAGACAUGGUGUUUUUUGCAUGCACUCCCCUCUCGUGGGCUUGGGCCUCUCAAAAUUUUCUUGGGCCAACAUCAAUUCUGGCAGGGGGGGGGGGGGAAAAAACCCCCCUACCUCAGUAGUGUUAUAGCUUAUUGAAAGAAUGCUAGCUGGAAUGGAUGACGGCCCUCCCCCGGAACUAGGGGUUACCCCAUUGGGUUUCCCCCCCCCCCCCCUAAAAAAUACAAAAAAACAGCGAGUAUGACACGGUUCGAAG
rnacentral:rRNA from 1 species